AGAAGAAGGGAUUGAAGGAGAAGGUCGAGGAGAAGCUGCAUGGUGAUGAUAAGGCGGAGGUCUUUGAGGAGGCUGACAAUACCAUUGUGGUGGAGAAGGUGGAGGCUGAGGCUGUGCCGGAAGAGGAGAAGAAGGGGUUUCUGGAGAAGAUAAAAGAGAAGCUCCCAGGGCACAAGAAGACUAUUGAAGAAGAAGCGGCGGAGUCCACUCCACCGCCACCGCCGGCUCCGGUGGUAUCGCCUGAAGGGGAGAAGAAGGGCUUUCUUGCGAAGAUCAAAGAGAAGCUUCCCGGGUAUCACAAGAGCGGCGGAGAAGAGGGGGAGAAGGCUGCUGGAAGCGAGUAGAAUGGCAGUGUGAUUAUAGUUGUUUUGUUGCGUAAUUAUGAGACUCCUGGGCUAUGUACAGCCCAU
rnacentral:misc_RNA from 1 species